GAUGAACGCUGGCGGCGUGCCUAAUACAUGCAAGUCGAGCGAAUGGAUUAAGAGCUUGCUCUUAUGAAGUUAGCGGCGGACGGGUGAGUAACACGUGGGUAACCUGCCCAUAAGACUGGGAUAAAUCCGGUGAACCGGGGCUAAUACCGGAUAACAUUUUGAACCGCAUGGUUCGAAAUUGAAAGGCGGCUUCGGCUGUCCCUUAUCGAUGGACCAGGGUCGCAUUAGCUAGUUGGUGAGGUAACGGCUCACCAAGGCAACGAUGCUUAGCCGACCUGAGAGGGUGAUCGGCCACACUGGGACUGAGACACGGCCCAGACUCCUACGGGAGGCAGCAGUAGGGAAUCUUCCGCAAUGGACGAAAGUCUGACGGAGCAACGCCGCGUGAGUGAUGAAGGCUUUCGGGUCGUAAAACUCUGUUGUUAGGGAAGAACAAGUGCUAGUUGAAUAAGCUGGCACCUUGACGGUACCUAACCAGAAAGCCACGGCUAACUACGUGCCAGCAGCCGCCGUAA
rnacentral:rRNA from 1 species